UACGGAGGAUGCAAGCGUUAUCCGGAUUUAUUGGGUUUAAAGGGUGCGCAGGUUGUUUGAUAAGUCAGUGGUGAAAGUCUGUCGCUUAACGGUAGGAUUGCCAUUGAUACUGUUGGACUUGAAUAUGGAUGAGGUAGGCGGAAUGUGUAGUGUAGCGGUGAAAUACAUAGAUAUUACACAGAACACCGAUUGCGAAGGCAGCUUACUAAUCCAUCAUUGACGCUGAGGCACGAAAGCGUGGGGAUCAAACAGGAUUA
rnacentral:rRNA from 1 species